rnacentral:rRNA from 1 species
GAGUUUGAUCUUGGCUCAGGAUGAACGCUGGCGGCGUGCUUAACACAUGCAAGUCGAACGAAGCGCCUUAUUUGAUUUUCUUCGGAACUGAAGAUUUGGUGACUGAGUGGCGGACGGGUGAGUAACGCGUGGGUAACCUGCCCUGUACAGGGGGAGUAACAAUCAGAAAUAGACUGCUAAUACCGCAUAAGACCACAGCACCGCAUGGUGCGGGGUAAAAACGUACCGGUGGUACAGGAUGGACCCGCCGUCUGAUUAGCUGGUUGGUGAGGUAACGGCUCACCAAGGCGACGAUCAGUAGCCGGCUUGAGAGAGUGAACGGCCACAUUGGGACUGAGACACGGCCCAAACUCCUACGGGAGGCAGCAGUGGGGAAUAUUGCACAAUGGGGAAACCCGUGAUGCAGCAACGCCGCGUGAGUGAAGAAGUAUUUCGGUAUGUAAAGCUCUAUCAGCAGGGAAGAAAGUGACGGUACCUGACUAAGAAGCCCGGCUAACUACGUGCCAGCCGCCGCCGUAAUACCUAAG